rnacentral:lncRNA from 13 species
GGAGGAGACCUCUGGCUGGGGUCUGGCCUGGUGGAGAAGGGACCGGCCUUCCAGUUCACACCUGUUGGAAGGCAGAUCCCUGGCACCCCAACUCCCUGUCCUGCCCACUAAUUGAAUGUGGUCCCAGCCUUUUCCGUCUCCUCUUCCGUCCAGCAACCCCGCUCAGACCAUUUACAAUCAUUGUUGCAGAGACUGAGACAUGACGCAUGAAGGGCCUUGCCUGGAGGGGAUGCGUAGUGAAUGUGAGUUUCCUCCCCCGACUUGGAACGUGCACCAUGUUCUUUUUCCCACCAUGCGACUGUGCCUGCAGCCGCUGCUUCACUCAAGAUCUCCCCUUUCACCUCCUGUGGGGCUCCUGUGUGUGUCCUCGAUAAGCCACAGAGGCUGAUGGCCCCCUUGAGGCAGUCUGGCCUUGGGCUGUCUCUCCUAUUCAUGCGUAGUGACCGCCCCAGGGCCUGUGAUGCAGGGAGUGGGGAUCUGGGAAACUGUUCUUGCCCUCUGACCGUUUCUUUACUUGCUGUCAAAGGAACGUGCAUUUCUGAAUACAGCCACACUGGAAGUUUCAGGAGGGGAAGGUCUGUUGGGGUUUCCAGGAAGCACAGUGAACAAAUUCAGGAUGCACCAGCAACCCAGGUGCAGCGUGGUGCGGUGAGCAAGGAAGAGGAGCCUCAGCCCGCUUCAGCCAGGGAAAGGUUCAAGUGAUUCUCCUGCCUCAGCUUCCCAAGUAGCUGGGAUUACAGGCACACACCACCACGCCUGGGCAAUUUUUGUAUUUUUAGUAGAGAUGCGGUUCCACCAUGUUGGUCUGGCUGCUUCCUGAGGCCUCCCCAUGCUUCCUGUGCAGCCUGUGGAACCAUGAACAAAUUCAACCUCUUCUCUAUCCAUUAUCCAGUCUCAGGUGUUUCUUUAUAGCAGUGUGAGAACAAACUAAUUCAGAGGAUGACACAGAAGCACAGAGAAGGUGCCGAGCUGAGCUACAGACACCCAGGCCUGAAAGCCCUUCCUCCGGAGCGGACCGUCCAGAUUUGGAACCACUGCCAUGGACAAUUAAGCAAAGAAAGAGGUCCAGAUGAUGCGCUGCAGGAGAACAGAGCUGGCCCAGGAACACCCCACUUCUGCUCCUUCGUCCCUGCUGCAGAGACCUGGGAAGGCCCUGCCUGGCACACAGCACACUGGGGCGGCCCCACUGCAGCAUCUGGGCUGCCAUACCCAAGGUGCUUCCCAGCCCGAGAGGCUCCUAGCAGCUCUGACACCUUCUGUUGUCAUGUCACCUGGCCCCUCACCAUCACUGCCCUCACCUCUCCUGGGUUUAGAACACUUAAAUGCAUUUUCCUGAAGCCCUUCAGCCUCCAUCCAGUAGGAUGCCCUCCCAACUUCUUGCAGAGGCCCCAUUGCUGUCACCUUUCCAUGUGGCAGGCAGCUGAACUGUGUGCAGGGAUCCCCCUUGGAGAGGCAAAGCCUUUGAUGUGCAGCAGGCAGCAGACAGAUCUGAAGUAGUCAUCUGACUUCGGCAACUGGUUCGCUUUCCUCAUGGCAGGUGCACAAUGGGUCGUGUUUCUUUGUUGAUUCUGAAAUUAGCUUUGAGAAGAAUUCUGGAAGAGGGGAUCCAAAGCUAUGUGGAAUAAAAUCCUGGAAGGAAGUGGAGGGCCCUUCCCA